UACGUAGGUGGCAAGCGUUAUCCGGAUUUACUGGGUGUAAAGGGCGUGUAGGCGGGUUUGCAAGUCGGGUGUGAAAUAUCCAGGCUUAACUUGGAUGGGUCAUCCGAAACUGCAGAUCUUGAGUGCUGGAGAGGAUAGUGGAAUUCCUGGUGUAGCGGUAAAAUGCGUAGAUAUCAGGAGGAACACCAGUGGCGAAGGCGGCUAUCUGGACAGUAACUGACGCUGAGGCGCGAAAGCGUGGGUAGCAAACAGGAUUAGAUACCCGGGUA
rnacentral:rRNA from 1 species